AAAAAAGAGGGGGUUUAAUAGUAAAAACGGAGGUAGUGGCGGGCGCGGUGGUAAGGAGGGGGAAUUGGCAGUUGGAAGAAGAAUAGUGAAUAUUUGAAGAUGAAAACCCCUGUUUCCGGUUUCUACAAAAAUCCCGUCAAGUUCAGGAUGCCAACUUCGGAAAACCUUGUACCCCUUCGACUUGACAUCGAAAUCGACGGCCACAGAUACAAGGAUGCUUUCACUUGGAACCCUUCUGAUCCUGAUUCUGAGGUUGUGGUCUUUGCUAAAAGAACUGUUAAAGACUUGAAGCUACCUCCUCCUUUUGUUACUCAAAUUGCUCAAUCCAUUCAAUCACAGCUAGCUGAAUUUCGAUCCUAUGACGGCCAAGAUAUGUAUGCUGGAGAGAAGAUUGUUCCCAUCAAGCUUGAUCUUCGUGUAAAUCAUACUCUUGUAAAAGACCAGUUUUUAUGGGAUUUAAACAACUUUGAUAGUGAUCCUGAAGAGUUUGCAAGAACCUUCUGCAAAGACAUGGGCAUUGAGGAUCCUGAGGUUGGACCAGCUAUUGCCUUUGCCAUCAGAGAACAGCUUUAUGAGAUUGCAAUUCAAAGCGUGGUUUCAGCAAGAGAAAGCAGAUUAAGUAAGAAGGGUCGUCGAGGGGCUGACUUUACUCCAGUCAGUAAAGGAGGUGCUGUAGCAGUGGACUUGGUCAAGUUAUUUGGUAUCAAAUCUAGUGUUGUUCGGAAAAGAAAGGAGUGGGACGUAUAUGAACCCAUUGUGGAUCUUCUAUCUAAUGAGGAAGUUGAUGUCCUUGAAGCAAAGGAAGAGAAAAAUUUCAGGGGGUCCAUAUCAAAUAAUAUUUAGUCGAACCAAGCCAAGGAAUAUAAACUGUAAAUGGAUUUAUUCACCAACAUGAGUUACCUCUAACUGGAAGAGGGCUUUUAUAUAAUAUAAUAAAAGUGGGAGGAAGAGGAACACAGACAGAGAGAGGCAAGAUCCGUGAGAUGAGGCUACUGAUGAUGGAAGGAACAUCACUCCUUUUUAUUGACUUCUCUUAUCUCUCUCAUCAAACCUAAAGGGCUGAACCCAAGCACAUGCUACAUCACCUUACACGUGAAGAUCUUUUCCAUUGGAUUUUACUAUUAUUUUAUUCAAUUAAUGGAGACUCAGUGGACCCUUUUUGCUUAAUAAGUUAAACUUUAGCCUUUUCAUUUGAAGCUACUACUA